GACGGACCCUUCGGGGUUAGUGGCGGACGGGUGAGUAACACGUGGGAACGUGCCUUUAGGUUCGGAAUAGCUCCUGGAAACGGGUGGUAAUGCCGAAUGUGCCCUUCGGGGGAAAGAUUUAUCGCCUUUAGAGCGGCCCGCGUCUGAUUAGCUAGUUGGUGGGGUAAUGGCCCACCAAGGCUACGAUCAGUAGCUGGUCUGAGAGGAUGACCAGCCACAUUGGGACUGAGACACGGCCCAAACUCCUACGGGAGGCAGCAGUGGGGAAUCUUGCGCAAUGGGCGAAAGCCUGACGCAGCCAUGCCGCGUGUAUGAUGAAGGUCUUAGGAUUGUAAAAUACUUUCACCGGUGAAGAUAAUGACUGUAGCCGGAGAAGAAGCCCCGGCUAACUUCGUGCCAGCAGCCGCGGUAAUACGAAGGGGGCUAGCGUUGCUCGGAAUUACUGGGCGUAAAGGGAACGUAGGCGGACAUUUAAGUCAGAGGUGAAAUCCCGGAGCUUAACUUCGGAACUGCCUUUGAUACUGGGUGUCUUGAGUGUGAGAGAGGUAUGUGGAACUCCGAGUGUAGAGGUGAAAUUCGUAGAUAUUCGGAAGAACACCAGUGGCGAAGGCGACAUACUGGCUCAUUACUGACGCUGAGGCUCGAAAGCGUGGGGAGCAAACAGGAUUAGAUACCCUGGUAGUCCACGCCGUAAACGAUG
rnacentral:rRNA from 1 species